GGUCCGGUGGCCGAGGUGACAGCGGCGCCGGCCUUCACACGGCAGGGCAGGGGUUCAAAUCCCAUCCAGACCG
rnacentral:tRNA from 1 species